rnacentral:rRNA from 1 species
GAUGAACGCUAGCGGCAGGCCUAACACAUGCAAGUCGAGGGGUAGAGAUAGCUUGCUAUCUUGAGACCGGCGCACGGGUGCGUAACGCGUAUGCAAUCUACCUUUUACUUAGGAAUAGCCCGGAGAAAUCCGGAUUAAUGCCUGAUAGUAUUUUUUUAUGGCAUCAUAAUUAGAUUAAAGAUUUAUCGGUAAAAGAUGAGCAUGCGUCCCAUUAGUUAGUUGGUGUGGUAACGGCACACCAAGACGAUGAUGGGUAGGGGUCCUGAGAGGGAGAUCCCCCACACUGGUACUGAGACACGGACCAGACUCCUACGGGAGGCAGCAGUGAGGAAUAUUGGUCAAUGGAGGCAACUCUGAACCAGCCAUGCCGCGUGCAGGAUGACGGUCCUAUGGAUUGUAAACUGCUUUUAUACGGGAAGAAAAAAGACCACGAGUUGGUUUACUGACGGUACCGUAAGAAUAAGGAUCGGCUACUCCGUGCCAGCAGCCGCCGUAA